AUACGUAGGGGGCAAGCGUUGUCCGGAAUUACUGGGCGUAAAGCGCACGCAGGCUGACUUAUAAGUCGGUAGUCUAAUGCGGAGGCUCAACUUCCGUUUAUCUAUCGAUACUGUAAGACUAGAGUAUGUGAGAGGGAAGUGGAAUUCCCGGUGUAGCGGUGAAAUGCGUAGAUAUCGGGAGGAACCCAAGUGGCGAAGGCGACUCCCUGGCAGAAUACUGACGAGCGUGUGCGAAAGCUAGGGUGGCGAACGGGAUUAGAUCCCCCGGUGGUCCUAGCCGUAAACGAUGGAUACUGGGUGUGGGUGUCGCAGGGCAUCCGUGCCGCAGCUAACGCGUUAAGUAUCCCGCCUGGGGACUACGGUCGCAAGACUGAAACUCAAAUGAAUUGACGGGG
rnacentral:rRNA from 1 species